AGUGAACGCUGGCGGUAGGCCUAACACAUGCAAGUCGAACGGCAGCACAGUAAGAGCUUGCUCUUACGGGUGGCGAGUGGCGGACGGGUGAGGAAUACAUCGGAAUCUACUUUUUCGUGGGGGAUAACGUAGGGAAACUUACGCUAAUACCGCAUACGACCUACGGGUGAAAGCAGGGGAUCUUCGGACCUUGCGCGAUUGAAUGAGCCGAUGUCGGAUUAGCGAGUUGGCGGGGUAAAGGCCCACCAAGGCGACGAUCCGUAGCUGGUCUGAGAGGAUGAUCAGCCAAACUGGAACUGAGACACGGUCCAGACUCCUACGGGAGGGAGAAGUGGGGAAUAUUGGAGAAUGGGAGCAAGCCUGAUCCAGCCAUACCGCGUGGGUGAAGAAGGCCUUCGGGUUGUAAAGCCCUUUUGUUGGGAAAGAAAAGCAGCAGGUUAAUACCCCGCUGUUCUGACGGUAACCAAAGAAUAAGCACCGGCUAACUUCGUG
rnacentral:rRNA from 1 species